CAGAGAGAAGUUUAAAUUUAAAUAUCAGUUUUGGGGAUUGAAGAUUCUGACUUUCAGUUCUCUGA
rnacentral:tRNA from 1 species